rnacentral:lncRNA from 1 species
AAAGCUCUAUAAAAGUUGACCUUUAGUUUUAUAUUUCUUUAGAUGUUCUAUUUGAGUCUGAUAUCCGCGAUCUUCAUCAGUAUGAAAACACGAUCGCUUUUCAAAUCUAUAGUUUUUGACUCGGCAUGUUUGAAUAUGUAAACAACAACAAUAUUAGAAGUGAAUCUAAGAGAAAUCGUGGAAGAUGAAGAAACAAAAUAGUACCUUAGAUUUCAAGAUUGUGAAGUCUUCUUUUCACAUUCAUAACUUUUUGGUCGGGGGAUUACAUUCAUAAGUUUUGUAUCUUAGAUCACAUUCGUAAGUUUAGAUCACAAUAUAAGUUUUGUACCUUAGAUCACAUUAUAAGUUUUGUACCUUAGAUCAACAACAAUAUAAGUUUUGUACCUUAUAAGCAACAAUAAUGUGAAAAUGCACCUUCUAAGCAAUAAUGUGAUAUAAGUUUUGUACCUUAGAUCACAUUAUAAGUUUUGUACCUUAGAUCAACAACAA